UACGAAGGGGGCUAGCGUUGCUCGGAAUCACUGGGCGUAAAGCGCACGUAGGCGGCUUCUUAAGUCAGGGGUGAAAUCCUGGAGCUCAACUCCAGAACUGCCCUUGAUACUGAGGAGCUUGAGUCCGGGAGAGGGGAGUGGAACUGCGAGUGUAGAGGUGAAAUUCGUAGAUAUUCGCAAGAACACCAGUGGCGAAGGCGGCUCACUGGCCCGGUACUGACGCUGAGGUGCGAAAGCGUGGGGAGCAAACAGG
rnacentral:rRNA from 1 species